rnacentral:rRNA from 1 species
AAUCAACGCUGGCGGCGUGCCUCAGACAUGCAAGUCGAACUAUUAAGACUUCCUUCGGGAAGUGUAUAAAGUGGCGCACGGGUGAGUAACACGUAAGUAAUCUACCUUCGAGUGGGGAAUAACGUUCGGAAACGAACGCUAAUACCGCAUAAUGCAGCGGCACCUAAUGGUGACAGUUGUUAAAGGAGCAAUUCGCUUGAAGAGGAGCUUGCGGCAGAUUAGCUAGUUGGUGGGGUAACGGCCUACCAAGGCUACGAUCUGUAACCGGUCUAAGAGGACGGUCGGUCACACUGACACUGAAUAACGGGUCAGACUCCUACGGGAGGCAGCAGUCGGGAAUUUUGGGCAAUGGGCGAAAGCCUGACCCAGCAACGCCGCGUGAAGGAUGAAGUAUUUCGGUAUGUAAACUUCGAAAGAAUGGGAAGAAUCAAUGACGGUACCAUUUAUAAGGUCCGGCUAACUACGUGCCAGCAGCCGCGGUAAUACGUAGGGACCAAGCGUUGUUCGGAUUUACUGGGCGUAAAGGGCGCGUAGGCGGCAAUUCAAGUCAUCUGUGAAAUCUCCGGGCUUAACCCGGAACGGUCAGAUGAUACUGCUUUGCUAGAGUGCGGAAGGGGCAAUCGGAAUUCUUGGUGUAGCGGUGAAAUGCGUAGAUAUCAAGAGGAACACCUGAGGUGAAGACGGGUUGCUGGGCCGACACUGACGCUGAUAGCGCGAAAGCCAGGGGAGCAAACGGGAUUAGAUACCCCGGUAGUCCUGGCCCUAACGAUGAAUACUUGGUGUCUGGAGUUAUUAGUGCUCCGGGUGCCGUCGCUAACGUUUUAGUAUUCCGCCUGGGAGUACGCUCGCAGAGUGAA